GCGAACGCUGGCGGCAGGCCUAACACCUGCAAGUCGAACGAACUCUUCGGAGUUAGUGGCGGACGGGUGAGUAACACGUGGGAACGUGCCUUGUGGUUCGGAAUAACUCAGGGAAAGUUGUGCUAAUACCGAAUGUGCCCUUCGGGGGAAAGAUUUAUCGCCAUUAGAGCGGCCCGCGUCUGAUUAGCUAGUUGGUGAGGUAACGGCUCACCAAGGCGACGAUCAGUAGCUGGUCUGAGAGGAUGGCCAGCCACACUGGGACUGCGACACGGCCCAGACUCCUACAGGAGGCAGCAGUGGAGAAUGUUCCGCAAUGCGCGAAAGCCUGACGCCUCCAUGCCGCGUGAAUGAUGAAGGUCUUAGGAUUAUAAACUUCUUUCACCGGGUACGAUAAUAACGGUACCCGGACAAGAAGCCCCGGCUAACUUCGUA
rnacentral:rRNA from 1 species